UGAAAGUCUGUCUUACUAAGACUCUAUAUUUCUCUACUUCUCACGUAGGCACACACAAUACAUGCACAAACACACACAUAACUGUAACCAAUCAAACACUCGCAAAUCAAACUCAAACUAUUUUUGUUUUGGAUUAUGUUAAUAUUGCUACAACUUGGAUUAUGAUACUGGUUGGUUGUUCAGGUUUCAAUUGAUGCAAAUACUGCUUCGAGAAGAAAACACAUGUAAUUAAAACACAUGUAAUUAGAUUGGAUUAUUUAUAAUUUGUGCUACUAUCUUGGGUUACAGUUCACUAUGUGUAACAAACUAAAAAUUUGAUCUUUAUGGGAAAAAAAUUAUUUGGAGUCACGCAAUGGGUACUAUUAGGCGCAAAUCCUCGUUGGGAGCAAGGGGUCUAACUAAUACAAUCACAUCAUGUAAAAUCGUGACCUGCCUUUUUCCUUACCAUCCCACUUUAAAAUUCUUUUGGAGCAUAUUCUGAAAACACGUAAUUAUAAUCCAUAAAAUUAAGCCUGACUGUCAACUCGCAUCCCCCAUUCCAGUUCCAUAGUACCCAUUGUGUGCAACCAAAUAAUUUUUUUUGCAUAAAGAUCAAAUUUUAGUUUGUUACACAUAGUAAACUGUAACCCAAUAUAGUAGCACAAAUUAACAAUAAUCUAAUCUAAUUACAUGUGUUUUCUCCUUCAAAGCAAUAUUUGCAGCAAUUGAAACCUGAACUACCAACCAGUAUCAUAAUCCAAGUUGUAGCAAUAUUAAAAUAAUCCAAAACAAAAAUGGUGGGAGUUUGAUUUGCGAGUGUUUGAUUGGUUAUAGUUAUGUAUGUGUUUGUGCAUGUAUUGUGUGUGUUGUGUGUUUUGUGUCUGCGUGAGAAGUAAAGAAAUAUAGUCUUAGUAAGACAAACUUUCACACCUAGACAUUUGUCUGGUCAGUGGUGGGUUAGUCAUCGUCAAAGGUGGACAGGUCGGUACUGGAUUGCAU
rnacentral:lncRNA from 1 species